rnacentral:rRNA from 1 species
GACGAACGCUGGCGGCGUGCUUAACACAUGCAAGUCGAACGGAAAGGCCCUGCUUUUGUGGGGUGCUCGAGUGGCGAACGGGUGAGUAACACGUGAGUAACCUGCCCUUGACUUUGGGAUAACUUCAGGAAACUGGGGCUAAUACCGGAUAGGAGCUCCUGCUGCAUGGUGGGGGUUGGAAAGUUUCGGCGGUUGGGGAUGGGCUCGCGGCUUAUCAGCUUGUUGGUGGGGUAGUGGCUUACCAAGGCUUUGACGGGUAGCCGGCCUGAGAGGGUGACCGGCCACAUUGGGACUGAGAUACGGCCCAGACUCCUACGGGAGGCAGAAGUGGGGAAUAUUGCACAAUGGGCGGAAGCCUGAUGCAGCAACGCCGAGUGCGGGAUGACGGCCUUAGGGUUGUAAACCGCUUUCGCCUGUGACGAAGCGUGAGUGACGGUAAUGGGUAAAGAAGCACCGGCUAACUACGUG